rnacentral:sRNA from 1 species
GUGAUGGGUAUUGGACGUUAUAUUGUGGCCACUUUUAAGAACUGAAGCGAGUCUGUGCAUAGUUUGGCCAUUGAACAGCCGUUAGUGGAACGAAAUUCAAUUUAAAAAUUAAAAACGCCGUUGAUGGCGAUAUCUGAUCGCGAUGAACUGAUUGACUCCUGCUUUUAAAAUCAAGAUUCGGUUACUAAUCUUUACUUACUGCCAUUUAAGUGGUCCUCCCUAGUAUAAUAACGAGCACGAUUCUUCGAAAAGCAGGCUACCAAGGACAGUAUAAUGACGGCAAUUAGCACAAAGAUGAUGCCACCCAAAAUGGCCAGAGUAUUGAGACCGCCUGUUGGAGAAAUUAAGAGGGAUUUUAAAGAUAAUCAGAUUUGCAUUGUCAUGGCCUCUGUUUUUUUGGAUAGUAGGUGCAACACUUGAAUAAGCCCUAUAAGUUGCCAAUUAUCAAACUCUUACCAUGCUCAAGAAAGUUAUAGGAAGUGCUGGCGGCAUUCUGCUCCUCGUCGGUGAUGAAAGUUAGGCACUUGUGCAGGCCGUUAAUAUCCAAAUUAUUUAUUUCCGAUCCGCGCAGGUUUUUAGGCAAAAAGCAACUGGGAUACGUAUCCCAUUUCCAUUGCAACUAUUCGUUAAAAAGACAAGGAAAAGUGUGGAAAUACAAGGCGCUUGCCGGCUCUGGCAACGUUUAUUUUGGUUGUAACUGGAAUUUCACUUACUUGGCGGACGACAUUUAUUAAUUUUCCCAUGUGAC